UUAGGAAUGGUUUUGAGGGUGAUGAGAUUGAACAUGAGGGCUAAGAAGGUGUACAAAUCUCUUAGAGAACUAGAGAGCUCUUAGUGUACUAUAAAGCUGAGCGUUCUUUCAUGGCCUAUGUCACCAUGACAUAGUGUUAGAAAUCAAUGGCACAUUUCUUGGCUUGCCCGAAAAACUGAUCAAAACAAGAAGUUCUCUUUACAAAGAAGCUCUGUGGGAUUUCCAGAGCAGUUUAUGUUCAGAGACUGCCUGUGGGAAAAUAUGCCAUUUUUGGGUCAAGACUGGAGGUCUCCUGGAUGGAGUUGGAUUAAAACAGAGGAUGGCUGGAAAAGAUGUGAAUCCUGCAAUCAGGAGAUUGAAAGAGACAAUAACCAAUGUAACAUCAGUCAUAGCAUUAUUGUAAAUAGUGAGGAUGAAGAUAUAUUCAUCCCUGGAGACUGUGAAUUUGCAGCCAAAAAAAGGAAAAAGGAUCACUUCAGGAAAAGCACAAAUACUCAAUGUUUUUAUCGUGAAAAAUGGAUUUAUGUACAUAAAGAAAGCACCAGAGAAAGGCAUGGCUAUUGUACCUUGGGAGAAGCCUUUAACCGCUUAGACUUUUCAAGUGCAAUUCAAGACAUCCGGAGGUUCAACUAUGUUGUCAAACUCUUACAGCUAAUUGCAAAAUCCCAGUUAACUUCAUUAAGUGGAGUAGCACAAAAAAAUUACUUCAACAUUUUGGACAAAAUUGUUCAAAAGGUUCUGGAUGACCAACAAAAUCCUCGCCUUAUCAAAGAUCUUCUUCAGGAUCUAAGUUCUACACUUUGUAUUCUUAUUAGGGGAGUAGGAAAAUCUGUUUUAGUUGGAAAUAUCAAUAUUUGGAUUUGCAGGUUAGAAACUAUCCUCGACUGGCAACAACAGCUUCAAAAUCUUCAAAUGAACAAGCAAGUCAAUAAUGGCCUUACACUUAGUGAUCUUCCUCUGCACAUGCUGAAUAAUAUAUUAUACAGAUUCUCAGAUGGAUGGGAUAUCAUUACGUUAGGUCAAGUGACCCCAACGUUAUACAUGCUCAGUGAAGACAGACAAUUAUGGAAGAAGCUUUGCCAGUACCAUUUUGCGGAAAAACAGUUCUGUAGACAUUUGAUACUCUCUGAAAAAGGUCAUAUUGAAUGGAAACUGAUGUACUUUGCACUGCAGAAAUGUUAUCCCAUCAAGGAGCAAUAUGGAGACACUUUGCAUUUUUGCAGGCACUGCAGCAUUCUCUUUUGGAAGUACUUAGCCAAGCCUGGAACAUGGACAACACUUACCAGGGGCUCAGAGGCUUUACACACCUGCAUGGCACGGCAUCUUCCUUUGGGUUUUACCCAGUAGACACUUCAGAUACUUGUUAAGUCCCUGAUAGGACUGGGGCCACAAAGAUGAAAAAUAACCCUGUUCCUGUUCUCCUGGAGCUUACAACCUACCGAGAUAAUGGAAUAUGCAGACUGACUUGGUACACUUCAAUCUGACUUUUUCUUUUAAGCUAUGUGAUAUUUGCUUUUAUAAAGCUUUUCUCUUGUUUUUAUGUUUUCUUUUUCUAAAUAUCCCCCACUGCUCCCCUUGAAAUUGUGGUCUCUCUUGUGACAACAAUAAAUAAAGACACUAUUUAUUAGUCAUAUUGUAGACAGUGUUCUCCUUCCUGUAGUCAUCCUCCUCACUGCUGAGAUGACAGAAUCAUUGAUUUAGAGAUGGGAGGAAUCUCAUAUGAAGUAACUUGCCCGGGUCUCCUAACUAUUAAAAUGUCCCAGGUAGAAUUUGAACCUAGGUCUUCCUGCCUCCAAGUCUAAUGUUCUUUUUACUAUAUUGAUAUCCCAUCUCUUCAUUAAAUAUUAGGAAACUGAGGUCUGGAGGAUAGAAAUGUUUCACAAUCUGCUUUCUUGAGAAUGAUACUGGUAUUUUAGUAGUUCAGUUGUUUUUCAGUCAUGUUGUACUCCUCAUGACCCUAUUUGGGGUUUUCUUAGCAAAGAUACCAGAGUGGUUUUCUAUUUCAUUUCCAGCUUAUUUUACAUAUAAGGAAACUGAGGCAAACAGGACUAAGUGACUUGUCCACGGUCAAACAGCUUGUGAGUGUCUGAAGCCAGAUUUGAAUUCAGACAAGUGUCUUCCUGCCUCCACAACCAGUAUUCCAUCUAUUGUGCCACAUAGGUGCCUGAUAUUGGUGUUCAGUUAUUACGAUCAAAUCAGUUCCUCAAGAGUUCAUCUUCUUUUAACAUCCUUUCCCUUCACAGUUUUGUAGCCAUCAUGCAUAGGGUGUCCUGGUUCUGCUUACUUCCCUCUGCAUUGGUCCAUGCAAAUCUCAUUUAACAAACAUUAAGCCCAUAAUGUAUAAGGCACAAAAAAGCAUGAUGCAAGGUAAUAUGGUGGGGACAAAUGAUGCAAAAGGGCUUUAGAAAAAUGUCAUGAGGGAGAAAAUAUUUUUAGGAGGGGAAGAUAGGGAAGGCUGCAUGGAAGAGGUGAUAUCAAAGUUGGUCCUUGAAGGAAGAGAAUGAUUCUGGGGAAAGCAAGCUCCAGGCAUGGGGUGUAGCUUGCAUACAAGUGCAAAGGCAUGAGACAAAAGGUUGAAUUCCAGUGAAAAGAACUCACUGAAGUUACAGGGAAUCAGAUGGCACAGAUAAAGGGCUAGGCUAGAGUCAGAAAUAUUCAUCUUCCUGAGUUCAAAUCUAGCUUCAGACACUAAUUAUGUGAUCCUGGGCAAGUCACUUAGCCUUGUUUGCCUCGGUUUCCUCAUCUGUAAAAUGAGCUGGAGAAGGAAAUGGCAAACACUUCAGUAUCUUUGCAAAGAAAACCCCAACGGGAUCAUGAAGAGAGGAACACGCCUGGAAAAAUGACUGAAUAACAGCUUUCCAAUUUAGAUUUGCAAUUUACAGGGGUCAGUUGAAGGGUUUCUAGGAAAGCUCUGGGGGCGCUAAUGAUGUGAAUAAUACUCACUGCUAUAUAUUAUCAAUCUAGGACACACAAUGCAGUUCAUUGUUAAGAGCUACUGAAAGGGCACCCUCAGCAGACUUAAAAGAAAAAGCAAAAUAACCACCUUAGUAGGUUUUGUAGUGGGGAAUUCUUGUUCAAGGCAUGGGUAGUACAAGAUGGUCUCUGAGGUCCCUCCCGAAUGCCGAGAUCCUAGGAGGAACCUAUAAGGUUCAGGUGACCUUAUAAUCCAUCAGGUUAAUAUCUCCUUAGGAUUCUUAGCAUAUUAGCCUGUGGAGACAACUGCAAUGAGUUUAUCUCUUGCACAUAAUUUUUAUUUGGGGAAAGUCUGAGAGGUUGCCAUAAGCCACUAAAGAUUUAAAAUUAGAACUCAUCCAGAUGGAGGUGAUAGUUAAAUAUUUUUCACUCAAUUAUCAAGAAAAGAGCUUCAAGAGGAAAUUGGACAACAGUGUCAACUAUUAAAGAGAUUUAUAUCAGGAAAAGGCUUUUGUGUUAAGAGGUCACUGGGAACCUUUGUUGGCACUUUUAGUCAAAUAGUCGGGACAAAAGUCUGAUUGAAAAAAAGAUUAAAGUAUUCAUAGAUGGUGAGAAGCUAGAAACCAAACACAGAGAAAUUGUCAGUUUAGGGGAUCAAGAGAGAGGAGAUGAGAAUCUAAAGAAACAGGAUUUAUAGAAUAAGGAUUUGUUUUAUUUUAAGAUAAUGAAGGCCCAGCAAUGUCUAUGGGCAAGAGAGAGAGAGAGAGAGAGAGAGAGAGAGAGAGAGAGAGAGAGAGAGAGAGAGAGAAAGAGCCAGAGGCAGAGACAGAGACACAGAGACAGAGACAGAGACAGAGACAGAGCAGAAGAGAAUGAUUGAAGACAUAAAGGAAGGAAGAUGGCCAAUAAAAUCCUAGAAAAAAAGCUUCAGGGCACAGAUUGAGAGAUGAGAUUAGCCUUGGCAGGGGGCUCUUCCUCAGAGACAAGAGGAAAGGAAAAGGAAGAUGAAAGAUAAACAUAUUUUGAGAUGGAUAAAUGAGAAACUGAGGGACAGCUAGACAAUUAUCUUUGUAGAUCAGGACAAAAAAAAGGUCAUCGUCUGAGAAGGAAGAGGUGGUAAAUUGUGAGGUUUGAGAAGGGUGAAUAGAGUUUGAAAAAAAAACAAACAACUGAGGCUACAUGUUAAGGAGUUAAUAAAAGACAAAGAGAUUAUCCAGCAUUAGGGAGGUUCAGUAUAGAGGACAGGAAGUUGUAAAAGGUUCCAUUGGAACUUGCUCAUGACUUUUCCUAACAAGGUUCACCAAAAUAGAGGAAGUGGAGAUCAGGAAAGACACAGCCAGGUGGAAAUGUUAGAGGGGAAAGAGAAAUUCCAGGGCAUUGGCAAAUAUUUUGUUGAAGGCUCAUCACCCUCCAUACUGAAAUUGAGAAGUAAGAUCAUAAAGAAUAGAAUGAAAGAGGUAACUGAUUCAGGUGUUCUUUGGUCUUUUAGAAAGAGUUCUGGAAGUAAUUAAAUUAUUUCAAUCAUGCUUAUGUGCUAUCAUCUCCAUGUAAGACUUUCAAAGAAAAGGAGGAGCUGCAGAGAGAUGAAAGAAGGUCCAGAAGUGGGGCCAGGGUUGACAAAGGAUGGUUCAUCAUGCCUGGGAGGAAAGAGUCUCCUGUGGAAGUGGUUGUGAGGGAUAUGGGGUAGUCAGAAGAUUGUUGGGUUUCAAUUAACAUCUCUUCUUUUCCUUUGUCUUCAAUAUUUGCUCCAUACACUAUAAUGCCAAUGUCCAAUUAACAAGUUAUACAGCUUUGCUAUGUGACCCUGAUCUCUUGUACCUGUCUUAGAGAUGGCACUAAGAAAGGGUUUUUUAAAAAAUAAACUAUAUAGCCUUUUACAUUAUAGCAACUAAAGGCUUGAACAAUUUAGUCAUUUUUCUGAGGCUCCUUUAAGAAUUGGCAUCUCUAGACAAGUGUCUACCCACAAAGAUAGUUACCCAAAUUCUAUCGUUUGGGCCUUAGAGCAUCUCAUAGUUCUCAUGACUAAGAUCUUAUUGCCAUGCCUGGCAUUUGCUCAAUUCAUCAUGCUUAGCUAGUGACAACUUCAAAUUUCUGUUUAAUUAAUUUACUUUUUUAAAAUAUUUUCAAAAAUAACAAGAUUUCACCUCCAUGCAUGUUAGCAUGCGUCUAAUUAAAAGGACACUACAGUUUUUAGCAGUGAUCUAAAAGAUGCUUUGUGUCUCACUAUGCUCAUUACUGCUACCUCUUCUUCAGUAACCAAAGUAAUGAGAAGACAAUGGUGGAACGUUAUAAUUUACAUAGACAUUGAUCCAUAGAGCUUGUUAAUGUAAUUAUAGAAAUUUAAGGGUUGAUCAACUAAUAACUUCCCUGGACCCUUCAACAAUUAAAAGUGUGAAAUUACUAUUAUUGGUUUGAUUUGGUGACUGGCGACUGACCUGCAACUCAACCCAACAAACUCAUUAUUCCAGAAAAAAAUCCCUUGUAUUAAGUCUUCCUUACUUCCUUAUGGUGAAAUAUCCAAGAGUUACCCAGAAAGGAAUUAUUGGAGAAUUAGCUAAUGUAUCUUCACAUUGCUGUGGCAAGAUGCACUAUUGGCACCUAUCAGAGUAAUUAACUCAGUGAGAAUUCUGCUUUGGGACAGCUGGCAAACACCAGGGGGAGAGGCCUAAAGGGGUCAUCAGAUUGGCCUCUCCUAUACUUUCUUUAAAAACUGAGAAGCAAAUAAAAAUCAAUUGAAGAACUUAAUUAUGCAGAUUAGCUCCCGCUUCAAACAUUUCCUUUGGUUUAACUUCUUUUAACAGCAUUUAUUCUGACACAAUUUCUUUCUCCAUUUCUAAAUAGCCCCAUCUGUUGCUUCCCUCAGGAAUGGAAAUCUGCUUUAAAGGGAAAAGGCUACCAAGAGUGCUGAAUAUAAAGUUGUCCAAUACUCUGAAGUCAGCCUCCGGGAUGCAGAAUGGCAACUUCUACCACUAGGCUGACUGAAUGACUCCAAGCCACUUAAGCAGCAAUAGAUGCUCUUGGAGUUUUCAGUUCUGUACCUGUACUGGAGGCUUCUGUGAGCCAAGCUCUCAGGCUUUUCUGAAAUCCUUCCCUAGUGCUCAAAGCCUUCCAGUUAAGAAUAAAAGUACAUUUCAGGACAGAUUCCCUCCACUGGACAUAAACCUUGGAUUGAGGAACAGGAAGCACAAUUCUAAUCUAAAGUAUAGAGAAUUGUAAGUGGUCUAAAUUUAUUACUUAUUUGAGGAUAUAUUUCAAUAAAUAAUAAUGAUCAACCUA